ensembl:lncRNA
GUUACUUCCGCCAGCAUAGUGAAAUGCUAUGGAGUUUACCCAGUCCCUUCUAUAUCUGCCAAAAAUAUGUCUAGAUGAUGUACAGCAACUUGCAAACAAAGUUUCACUUACGUCACGUUCUAAACUUGAUGAUGGAUACAGAUUCUUCAUUGAUUAGUACCUGUUUGAUUAUGAAGACGUGACAAAUGUGACGUGACGAAAGAACGACUCGGGUCAGGAGACGCACCGGGACUUUCCAGCGAGCUGAAUAGGAAAACGUGGGAAAUAUAUGUGGAAUAGUUUCCAUGUUUAGAAGGAAGUUGCAUCAUCUGAAUUUCCUGAAGAUCACGGGAAGAAGAAAAAUACGUUCUUUCAUCCUUUUUCUUUAUUUCCUAUAGUGUAUUUAUGAUGAUAUGUUGAGAUAUUGAAUGAUGUCACUUUGAAAGUUCAACCACGUUUCCCAAAAUGAUUAAUAAAAUAAUAAUAAUAAUCAAGUAAAUUGUUAGUACAUCAUUAAUAUCCUUGUGGCAUUAGAAUGGAUUUGUUAAUUCUAUGAUUAAAAACUCCUGAAAUGAGACCUUUGAAAAUGAGAUUGUUACCUGAAAUGGGGUUUCUUAUAUUUAAUGUUGAAAAACAAAAAGAGUUCAAUUUUUAAAAACUGAAUAAUCGUGCCUAAUCGUGACGUCUUGCUCAUGCACACACUUCAUUUCGCAACCCUUUUUUCCUUCCUAAACAGUCGC